GACGAACCGUCCAAACGUUGUUCGGAAUCACUGGGCUUAAAGGGCGCGUAGGCGGGUGACCAAGUCCGGGGUGAAAUCUUUCGGCUCAACCGGAAAACUGCCUUGGAUACUGGUCAUCUCGAGGGAGGUAGGGGUCUGUGGAACUGAUGGUGGAGCGGUGAAAUGCGUUGAUAUCAUCAGGAACGCCGGUGGCGAAAGCGACGGACUGGACCUUCACUGACGCUGAGGCGCGAAAGCUAGGGGAGCAAACGGG
rnacentral:rRNA from 2 species